UAUCUUUGUCCCCGCUUAGGUGAUACGGCAGAAUUUCUGUCUGCCGUAUAAAAGGGAAUCCGGUGAGAUGCCGGAGCAGUGCCCGCUACUGUAUAGCUAACAGCUUCCUUUGUUUGAACAAAGGAAAGUCGGAAAGAAAGCAUUCACACAUUAAAACCACUGUCUUGUCAUAACGGAUUUGCAUCCGUGCAACCAGGGACGGGAAGGUUAAGCUUUCUUUAAAAGCUGAGUCAGGAAACCUGCCUGAGCAGUUACGUAAUU
rnacentral:ncRNA from 2 species